GGUAGAAUGGCUGAGAUUUAAGGCAAUAGAUUGUAAAUUUAUAUAGGAGGGUUGACCUCUUCUACCA
rnacentral:tRNA from 1 species